CAGCCUCGUUGUGUGGCAAAACAGGUAGCGCCCUUGUGCCGGCGUGUAGCUCUGCAGUCACGUGAACCUCGAGUGCUGGCUGAGUUUUGUUCUCCUUGUCCCAAACAAAAAAAAAAAGGUAAAGCGGGGCUGAAAAGAUUCAGAGAGAGGCCAGAGGUGAAAGGUGAGGAACGCUUUUCACCUAAAGAGGACUAAAUAGCGUAGGACCCUUCAGCCUGGAAAAGAUAUGGUGUAAUGGGGGGCAGCCUGGACAAAGAAGUAGUGACAAACUGCUUGCCAGGUCCUCCCGUUGAAGAUCACGGGGCCAGUAAUCGGAAACUAGCAGUAACUUGGUGCAAAAUAGUCCGGGGCUCCUUGUGCAACAGGAACUGGAGCUGUGUAACUCCACAGCUGUGGUAAAGGAUAUUGUGGAUGCCAAAACUUUGCGUGGCUUUAAGGGAAGGCCGGGCAAGUUCUUGGAAGAUAAAUUAGCUGAAGGUUACCAAAGUAGCAAAGCACAUCAGGCUCAGAAAAAUGUCCUGGGCUGAAACUAGUUGGAGGCUGGGACAAACGUGCUUGCUCUGUUACUUCUCUCUGCAUGUUUCCUUAUGGCUUCGGCUGGAGGUGGGUUUAGGUAGAUCCAGCUAGCAGUGCAGCUAUUUUUCCUUUCUGUAUGUUAAAACAUCUGUUACUGUAGAAGAUGCCUCUGUAAGUGACCUUCUCUUUCCUUUGUAAAAAGGUGUGGUCGGAAAGACCUAGCUCUGCAACUACAGUCACGUGAAACCCGUAUGUCUACGCAGAAUCCCAGUGAAAGCCCUCUAUGGGAUUAAAAUGGUGUGCCUAGGUGGACUCUGUUUACAAAUUGUAGCCUAACAGUAUUUGCCUACAUAAAAGGAAUGUUUAAGGUGGCUGCAGUGGAUUGUUAGAAAGCAGUAGCAGUAGAUUAUUUUUAUUUUGGUAGUUUAUUUUCCAGUUACUUAUAUUUCAAUACUAUUCUGUCUGGACUUUCUGCUUUUCCAUAAGGUAGACAUGCUGGUUUUAAGAGCUGAUAGGCGCAAGAGCUUACAGAACUAACUGUCUUUCUGUGUUCAGAUGCAAUAAGAUGUAAUAGGUGUGUGUGAACACAUCAAAGCAACUGAAAUAAUUUGCUCUGUCCAGAACUUAUGACAACCUUUAUUAUACAGUGACCAUGUUUCCUGCUGGAUUUUAUCACUCCAGAUUUUAUUUGACAUAGGCUAUCUUCCCAGAAUAUCCUCUGAUGGUAAUUGAGACCAUCAGUUAAGUAGUUUGUGUAUUUGAGUCAUUGGGUUCUCAUAUUACAUUAGAAGUUUCUAAAUUUUGUCAUUAAGGCUCUUAGGUAUUAAUCUUUGCGUUCUAGUUGAAAUUGACACACGUGUUAAUUGCCACAUCUAAAGACAAUAAUUAUUUCAAUUAUUUUCUAUAACUGCUCAGUACAAUUCCAUUAAAACAUUACUAUGUGAUGUUCUGAAAAUAAGGUAGUAAUUUUCCCUUAACAGAAGAAGUGAUAGUCAGACAGCAGGUGGUGCAGGAGAUCAGAUGGAGAAGAAAAUGAAACUUUAGUGUAAAAAGUCAGAAAAAUGUUCAGAAAGAACAAGAAGCAAAGAACAGCCACAAGUGUCUCAGUUUCUGAUUUCAGUAGGACUAGGAGCAAGGUACAGUGAGUUCAGCGGCAUGGCAAAAUUGGGAAUGAAACCAUUUGCAGAGGUAAAGAACAGUAUAAAAAUAUGUAGUGGACUCUGCUUUCCUGAUUAGGUAAUACUUAUCUCUGUCCUUAUCAUGUAAUUUUAAAACUCUGGUAUGUUUUAAAGCAAAAUGGACAGCUGCAGAAAGCAAAAAUAGUGUCAUGUAAAGUGGUAUAGUUAAACCGGGAAUAUACAUACAUCUGCUUUUAUUUAGCAAUGCAAAUGGCAAAUAACGUAUUUGGGAUUUUAAGUAUAAGGUGCAGAGUUAAAAUGAGGCAUGCAGUCAAAGUGAGCUUUAGCAGCCAUCACUCAGAAUUUAGCCUUUUGGUGAUUCUGGGGUUGGCUGAGCGGAGUUUAAAAAGUCCUUCUGACAAACAAGUGUAAGGUGAGUAGCCAUUCAGUGGAGCACCUUCAGCCACGCUUGGAGAGCUUUUCCUGAGUUGUGACACUUGUCCCAUUUGCCCCAUACUUUCAUGUUCCACAUGAGGUACCAAGCUAUGUGAGAGUUUGAGCGUGUCUUAUUUAAGACAUUAGUUAAGGCAUUUGUCAAAUGGAAAAGGCGUUUCCUAGAGUGGGAGAAGGCCAUUCAAAUUUUUUUCACCGUAACAGCUGCUAUUUGGCAAGAUGACUGAUCACUUAAUAGUUACGUGAGAAUGGUGGUUUUCAUCCGGAUUUGAACAGUGAGUAUACUACAAAUAUGACAUUAAGAGGUGGAAAAUAGGACACAGAAUAAUCCCUGUUGCUGUCAUCAUUUUUCAAUGUAUUCCUUAGGGAAAUUUACAUGGAGGAAAAAAUGACCCCAAAACCCAGUGUUCUCUGGUAGAGUGAUAGAGGAUUCACACUUCUGGGAAGAUGUUGCCUCCCACAGACUGAAUACAGAUUUCAAGUGAUUCUGUUUAUUUUCAAACUGUUUCAGUGCUGCCUUCGUGAGAUAUUCCUUCUGGUCUGGAAAACAUGAUUAUUCACAGCUCAUGUUCCUAGGGCUUCACCUAGACGCCUGUGGCCUGACUUGCAUGAGCUGUGAAGGAUAAUUUGCAGUGCAGAUCUACACUGCGGAGAACAUCCAGAUGUGACAUUCAACAAUAUAGCAUCUACUGCGCUACUGCGUGAAAUGAAAUCAUAGCGCUAAUAGUGUGGUUAUGGUAUGAAUAAAGUAAUCAACAACUAAAAAUUCAUGAUCUAAUCCAAUUUAUAAAAGUGGAAACCAUGACUCAGUCUUUGGAGUUGGGCUGCUGAGUGACUUGACUCCACCAAGUAAAACAGUAUUCUGUUGCUAAACUUAUGCAAGUGCAAGUGCAAGUGGCUUGCACUGUCUGAACAGGGAAACCUUGGUAAAAAUCUUGUCCUGAACGGAGGCUCUGGUUAAGAGUAGCAGCGUAACUGAGCCCCUGCUCAGCGUGAGAGGCAGACUCUAGAGCAGUCGAUAGCUGCUAGUGGGUUAUUGCUCCCCUACCACCUGAAAUAUUCAAGAGAGGGUCAGUGUUUCAACCUACAAACCUUCUGCUUACGUGAAGAUCAAGUUCUGGGUUGCUAUACUGGCAGUGAAAAAAAUUUGCAAUGUGAUCUGCCAAACAAAGUAAAGAACAUUGCCCGAAGGUACUCUAACUUUCCUCCUCCAUCGUAAGUUUGCACUUACCUAUGGAUGUAUGUGAUAUAAAGCCUGUGAAGAAUAAUACAUGUAUGAGCUAUAAUAUUAGUAUAUACGGACCUCUUUACAUACCUGUAUUAGACAAAUUAUGCAACAUACAGAUGUAAACGAAGACCACAGUGUCUCUCUUGAAAUGUUUACACUCUUGAAAAUACCCCAAGAAACUGGCCAAAGGCAAAGGAAAGAAAUAAUGUCACCAGCCUAGUCGCCAUACAGGCUCUUUUAUCAAAUCUGAUUAUAUAUUUAUACUGUCUACAAAUUAUGGCAAAAUGUACAUAUGCAAAUAUAUACAGAAAAUUAGAUGUUCAAAUGUUGCCCUUGUGAGGUUAGUUUUGCUUUCUGUCAGGAUGCACUGUGCAACGUGCUUGACAAGAUCCCAUGCUACUCUUUGCAGGAAAAGCCUCAUUCGAAACCAACUCUAGGACUAGAGGAAUAUCCUAGUUGCUACAGUAAAGGAGAAAACAGGGAGGUUACUUCACACCUCCCCAGUGCUUCUUACAAUACCAGAUCAAUACUUCUCGGCAUAAUUUCACAUGGACCCUCAUUUCUGCAACAUCACUGAUCGUGGGAACCUUAACAAUAAGUUGGUGAAUGUCGUUCUAGACAAUGACAUUGUAUAGGUUGUAAAUUCCUCUCUUCUAGAUAUUCCUUAGAGAAAGGAAUGUUUUUUAUUUUAAUAUAUAUUUGGAGUUCCCUAGAAACGCUCUUUUUCACGUUCUUGCCACCGUUGAGGGUUCAUAGCACAGUAACAAUGUAUGGUGGUUACGAAAGGGCUUUGCCUCAGAGUAGGUGCUACCAGCAGUUUGUUGUUGCUCGUAUAGCUGCAGCUAAAGUCCGUGCUACUUCUUUCCACUGCUGAUUAUACCUGCUGUAGCUAGAUUAAAACAGAUAAACCUACCUUCCUUGUGCUAAAACCUUCAUUUGGUAUGGGUAAGAAAUUGCCUGGAUGGAUCUUUUUGUAGUUACUCAAAGAGAUUAAGGUCUAUGAGAAAGAGGUAUGAGGACUAUUCUGUACUUGUUUGAAAAAAAUGUUCUGAAUGCCUGAGGUUUGUACUGCUUUCCAGUGUUUUAAGUUUCUGGGUUUGGCCAACAGCCUUUAUCCACUGAAAAGGUCCAGGCUGGAAAAUCUUAACUCUUCUUCAGUAAAGUCGUUUUGUGAAUUCUGUUAUCUACCUCUGCUCUACAGAAACAGCUUUUCAAAAAUCCCUUUUGUGAAAAACUUCCACAUAUCCUUCCAUCCACUGGGAGUUAGAUCUGCUAAAAUGAACCUUUUUUGGUUUUGUUUUUAACUAUAAUUGGAUGUUUUGUCACAGACCCGCUAUGGGAUACAUUCUAAGCUUUGUAAAUUUAGUGAAAGAAAGAUUUUUAUCAGAUUCAAUGGACUGUGUGAAUCAGGCCCUACCUAUAUAUAUUCACUGAUGUGGACAAUUAGAAAAGCAUGCCAGCAAAGGUUUUGUACACAUCAGCAGAGUCGUGAAUAGAAAUAAAACAUUUAUUAAAUGUAAAUUAGUGAACAAUAAAAGGGUGAUAGAAAGAGUCUCAAGUGAGCAUAAGCAAUACGAACACAAUCCUGGUUAUACAUAAGGGUGUGCUGGUUUAAAAUAGGAAAUCUGUUUCAUUUUGACUUUUUAGAUGUUAGAUACAAAGUUGAUUACCACAAAGGGAGCAGGUAGAAUAAAGAAGAGGCAUUUUGUCCUGGAACACAACCCACUUAAUUUUACUUCCAUUCCUCUUCACACUGCAGUUUAUACCAGCUUCCAAAAUGGUACAUCUGCUGCUAGGUAAUCUUUCUUACCCACUUAGUAGCUGAGGUUUCAGCCAAACACAAAAAAGAUUUUUUUUUUUUCCAUCUAACUGCAUAAAAUUAAAAAAUCUAGGGCAUUGUUUAAUGAAAGUUUCCAGUGCAACCCUGUUUCUAGUUAUGGGCCUCUUUCCUGGGAGGCUUGCAGCCCCAGUUACCACCAUAGGAAACUUGCUUUCUUAGACAGCAAGUCUACAUGUUUUCGGUGGCAGUAGCUGCAAGCCAUCCCCAAGUGCUUUCUUAUCUUGGCUAUGAGCAUCAGGCUCACUCACCUUCUCAUUUCUCUGUUGAUUCCUCCCUUGUGCUGAGCUCUUGGGCAGUGAAAAAGGCCAGGGAGUUGAUUCAGCAGAAAAGCGAACGACCCCCGUCCUUUGCUGGGCUCAGCUGGGGCGAGCUCCCCAGCCUGGCUGCAUACACAGCCGCAUGAACAGUACAGACAGGGCUGGUGCAGGAAAGGGACUGCUUGGUGCCUUAAAUGUAUCUGGCACCAAAUGUCAAAUCAUGGCCUUAUUUUUUUUGAGAUUCGUGAUCAACCAAAGGUGUUAAGGAAAUUUGGGUCAGCUUGAAGUGUGAAGCGUAACUAGUAAAAAUACACGUUAUUCCAGUAUAAGAAAGAAUAACUAUGGUGGGAAUUUUAUGGCAGUAUCUUUUAGGCUUUCCAAUGUGGAGAAGACCAAUACAAAGUUAGACUCAGGACAGCCUUAGGAUAGAUCACAGACAGCACACUAUGGUUACAUUCACUAUGGUUCCUCAUCUAACUAGCACCUGUUACCGACACCCACUGUCACCAUGAAGAAGUUGUUGGUUUUUUUUAUCUGUGGGUGGCACAACUACAGAUACAGAUGGGAAAUUUGGAAUUGCUUUCUCAGGGGUGUAGGGUAUAAAGGAUGGUCCCAUUAUAUUCAUCAUCUGCUUAACAUCAAAUAUUUUCUUCUACAUGAACCAUGGCAUCCAAAAGCAUUAUAAAUAAAUGUGUGUCCAGUUUUGACAGUCUCUAUUAAUCACCUCAGAGGUAAAGUAACUUGCGGCACUGAGGGAAUCCAGCUGCAGUGAGUAUUUGCCAUCCCCUCACACACACUGACAGAUCUGUGAAGAGACAGGCUAGCUAAGACCUAACUGACCUGUUUAUCCUUUCUUACUGGAAGCAACCUGGAACCACGCUUUCAGAUCUUCCCAAGGGCAUGCCCCUUCUGCAGCAACUCCCAAACUUACUGUUCUUCUCCAGUGGGAAUUCACUCUGAAGAAUCAACUGGUAUUGAAUAGGUUUCCAAACGUAACAAGUAUUUCAAAGUACUAGCACCCUGGCUAUGCCAACGUGAUGUAUGCAUAUAACACCUUUGUUGAUUUACUUUCCUAAGAGGUAGUUUAAAACUGCAGCACUACUUAGAAAAACGAUUGAGUAUCUAGAAGCACUGUUGAGAAUGGAAAAAAGGCUCAGUUGUGGCACUCCGCAAGAGAACUAAUAAGAAAUGAAAAGGGAUCAGAAGGAAAAAUCCUUAACACACAGAAAGCUGUGACAGAGAAGCUUUUUGUUAUGACUUCCCCAUGGUUGCAUCAGCCAGCUGCCUUUUUCCAGAAGUAAUGUUAAAGAUACACUAUCUAGCUGGCAGCAGUGACAAGUCAUUCCACUGAAGGUACAUAGUGUAAUAAGAAGUUGAUUUCCUAUGUCCAACCUAGAAACUUUUGUUUCCAAAUCACUACCACCGGAAUAUACGAAUCAUAUAAUUUCACUUAAUACGUUUGUAGAGAAACCGAUGCAGUUUUGACCCAGUUUUUUGUUUUGUCUGUUAGCUAAAUAUAACAUAACCAUUUCUGGGGCAAAGUAUUCAUCCCUAUCUCAAAACAUAGCUCAAAUAACCAAGGCCAAACACUAUGUGCAUUUGAUUUCACAACCAUAAGUGCUGAUGAAUGAAUAUUGCAACCAAGAAUUUCUACAGUGCUGCGUAAAUUCCAGUAGUCAUCAACAAGUUACACAAUUUCACUUCUGGUUUAUAUUAACACAUAAAGGAAAUAUGUUCCAUGACUCUCACUUUACAUAACGUCCAAAUCAGUUACUUCGCUUAUUUAAGGCUCAGGUAAACUGUCAGAAACAGACCCUGCUUUAGGCUGCAUUGAAAUUUUUGUAAUUGUUGUUGACAGGUAUUUUAAUAAAAAGAUUGCACACACUAACUAAGAACUGCCUAGUUGGUGUAAUUAAAACUUGAACUUUAACAACUUUUAAGCUUGACUUUCAACAGCUAUUCAACUCAGUCCAGCUCAACAUUAAUUUUUGUUUUUAGGACGGACAUUAUAAAGCCUAUGUAGAAUUAGCCUUUUGUUUAUGACUUGAAUUUGUCAUGCACCACUGACAAUAAGGGAAGGAAUAACCUUGUUAUAAAGCAAAUUAUUUCCCUUUCUGAAAUAUGUAAGUUUGAAUCUUGUUGAACAAAUGGCAAGAUCUGGUGUGGUACAUCCUAUGCUCCUAAUAUUCAGGCCAAUCCUUUUUUUUUUUUUUUUUUAACCACUGUUCAUUUCAAAGAUUUUUUGUAAUUAAUAAAUAAAACAUAUCCCAUUAAAGCUCUAAAUUCCACAUAAAUAUAAGCAGUCAUUGAAUACAUGCCAAAAGUAAGGCAGGGAGAGCAGAAUUCUAUUUAACAACACUCUAGUAUUUACUUUGUCUUUCUAUGAUUAAAAGGAAAAACAACAUAGUUUGCUUUCUGGACUUGCAUAUAUUUCAUAAAUAUUGCAUCACCUUGCCAUGUCAUAUGACAUUUGGUAUUCCAUAAUGCAGUUCUCAGGAGCAAGUGUAAGCAGCAGCUGAUUGAUUUUCCUGUCUCUUACAACAUACAGCACAGCACACAGUUAUACUAGCAUUAUUUUUACAAGUAGUUUGUUCAGUUUUAUUUGCACUUCUCUUUGCAAAUUAUUAAAAUAGAUCAGAACCAAUUAAGAAGACCCAGCUCUGGUGACGUCAAAGGAGAAUUAGGUCAAGGAAGCAGCAGAAGCUAGCCUGUGCCAAGACUUGGAGAGGAGUAUUUGGAAUUUGAGACAGAAAAUGAAAGAAAGGCAGCAAGGCUAGCUGAAAGAGGACAUAAAGCAAAUAAGGAAGCUUAUCCCCCUUGGUAGUAUGAUAGCACAACCGAAGGAGUAAGACAUGCAACUGAAGACAAAAGAUAAGUGUGAUGAAAUAAUAAUGCUGAGAAAAAGUAAGGUACAGAAGAAGGACAUGAGGUACAAGUGACAGCUUAGAAAAAUACUAAAGGCAGGGCAGACUGUGAUAUAUUUUAAACCACUAUCAGCAGACCCGAGAAAGCUGAUGACCUUGGAGCAGGAGAGCAGAUGAAAAGCCUGUAGCAUCAAAUCUCUUUCUUUAAAGAAAGAGAAUAACAAAUCCAAACUAGAUCUGCAUCAACUGUAACUUGCAUGCAGGAAGCUUUGGAAAAUGGAAAAUCCCAAUGUUGCUCAGGAGGGAAAAACUCCCCUCUCUUUCCAGCUCAGGAAACGUCACUGGAAAGUCCCAGCCUGAAAAAAAAAAAUCCACCCAGUAAACAAAUUGCCUAUGCAUUGAAAAGAGAAAGAGGAACAAAGUCAAGAGAUACUUUGAGGUUAAAGGAGCUCAUUUUCAGGUUAGAAUUUCUUUGAAUGACGACAGUUCAAGUUCAAACAAGAAAAAUCUCACUAGGAUGAAGAAACUAGCAAACUUCAUUGCUGUUAUUAGGCUACAGAAAGUAAGCUCUUCAACUUGGGAUUUUUUGGGUUUUCUGCUGAGUGUACUCAAACAAUCCCAGUGACAACACAGAUACCCAGGAUUAUUAGAUCACUGUAAAAUUAGAAAUAACUGUCUGGCAAGUUUGUGGGUUGUUGGGGUUUUUUUCCCCCCUUGAUUGACCUGUAUUUUUAGACAAGGAAGCUCUGCUCCACAAUAUGCUUCCUGACAACCUCACUGGGCAUGGUUGUUUUACAAGUAAGUUCAAUGCUGGGAACUUUUCCAGCAUUGUCUGUCAAGAAAACAAGGAAAAACCAUGGCUAGUCACUUUGAGACAAGAAAUAUAGCGUUGGGCAACAUUCUACGAGUCUUCUCUAACUAGUACUGAUGAAAACAGAAGUAUUUUAACAGAAAAAUCAUUUACCUUUCUCUGAAAUAAAUCAAAAUUCAACAAAGCAGCAGUACAACCAUACUAACACAAAACAGAUGACGGUUUGGGAAGUGUCACUUGGACUGCCCUAUUUAUAGCCCGAUAAAUAUUAAAAUAAUUAUUCAAUAUUUUAUUAUCUUCAAGCUCAGGUUCUCUCAAUUAUUAUCAGGAUUUAAAGCUACUGCAGAUAGCCAUCUCAAGUAUGCUAUCCUAACAGACAGUGACUUAAUAUUUGUGAAACUACAGUCCUAUUCACAUCCUCACAAAUUUGGGACAAAGGUUGCUUGGCAGUCUUUUUUGGGGGUGGGGGGGUUAUGUUUCAGAUUUGUUUUAAUACAUUGCUCUUAAUGCAUAUAAAUAGCAGGAGGGAAACAAAAUCGCAGGGAAGUUAGCAAAUACCAUUCUUUACCAUUCUUCCUAUUACCAGGUAAGGGCAUAAUUCUACUGCUAUUGUCAUAAAGGAGGGUAGGAGGAUAUUAACUUCUGCAGUGGAAGGUCAGGGCCCAAGUCCAUUGAUUCCAUCUCUCAUUCUCAAGCUUUGAACAGUAGGGAUUAACGAUCACAAAAGUUUUCCCUCGCCACCAAGCUGGAGCAGCAAAUUAGAAAACAUAUCCAGUUUCGCUUCCUGUAUCUGAUGCAAGAAUUGUAUUAAGCUCUCUAGGAGAAACGUCAUGAUUCUCUCUCUAAGUACACUCUUACAUACACUGCAGGAAAGAGAACCCAGGAUGCGCGUCUCGGAAGAGGUGCAGCAAGGGUGAAGCCAAUAUUCACAAAAAAUGUACAAGCUGUAUGCCUCAUGAUUUUCAGAGGAGUGUCUUUGCCCUUCUCAAAGCAAGUUUCUAACAACAAAUGAAAGUAGACUGCGCCUGCAACAUGAACAUGACCUGCUGAUCUUCUAAGGGCUUUGUUUCAGGUACACUUGCCACUGUUGAUCAGUGCAAGGUAGCGUGGAAUCAGACAGUAAGAACGCCUUAUGCUGGAUAAUGCCUACUGCAAGAGGCCUCUCCCUUAAACUGUUUUCACACCUUGAGUUAACAUAGUCUGCUACAAUAGCUGAUGUACUACUGUACUGGAAAGCGGCAGAUAAUUCUGAAGCUUUAAAAUUCAGGGUUUUGUAUACUGGCACUGCAGACAUGCUAUAUGAAACCAUUUCAAAGUAGGAGCCUCUUCAACGCCAAGCGGAAUGCUCUUGGAUUCAGCUAAUUUUGAGAAAGAGAAUGCUGCUCCAUACCACACUUCAUUUCUCAAGCUCCCACAGCUGAUUCAGGAACUUUGCUCAUUGGAGUAAGUAAAACCAUAAAUCUGGAAAUUCCAGCCAAAAGAGUUAUUUUAGUAUCUGCCUGGUGCAAGACACAUAAAUCAGUUGAGAAUAAACUAACUAUUUUUUUUAAAAAGGUUGAUGUAUUUGCCUAUUGAACACCCACUGUAAUUAGGUAACACUGAAAAAGGCAUAAGAUGAAACGUUAGUGAUAUUCAUUCAUGCUUCAGGUAACUUUUUUUUUAAACAUGUUAUAAGGUUUUAUUUCAUAAAAUAGCAUGGAUAUGGAAUCAGCUAAGCAUCGCGGAAUACAAAAUUUCACACAGGGGGAAGGGAGAAAAAAAACCUUGAAUCAAGCAGAACCAACCACACCUUCAUCAAAAGAAGGACUACUUUAGUCAGAUCAGAUACCUGACCCCAAUAAAAAUAAUUAACAAACCAACCUAAUUCCUAAUGGAGUCAGUGAUUAUAAGAGGAAAGUCAUUUCUGGAACGCAGCUAAUUCUGAAUCUGGCUUUGCACAGAGUUCUAUGUUUCAUUUUCUUUUGUUAUUUUUCCUCUCUGACCUUGUCAGUCUUGUUACGACGAAAGUUGAUUUGUCAGCUGACGAGAAAAGAAAAAUAAGAUCAAUUGUAAAGCUGAGCGAUUAAGCAAGAAAAAGAUAUGCAAACGCAUUCUAAGUUCCUGCAUAUGUAAACAUGGUUUUACUCCACUCUUUGACAGAUUAAGCAAAAAAGGCUAAAAGAACCUGAAAGCUUUGAGGCUGAACAUCUGAAAGUUGGAAAGUGCUAAGAAUUAACACAGAAUAUGCAAAGGAAGCCUGGACUAGGAUCAAAAGGCAAUACAGUAAUUUCUAGCUGCAACAGGGACACGUUACUCGAGCAGUAGCUCUCGAGUAGUUCAAAUGUAACUCCAAGGGCAGGCCUGGCAUGAGGGCUGCACCGAUACAGACACAGCAAGUGUCACCAUUCCUACAGCAAAGGAAGCAGAUAUCGGGCAGGGAGGCUGUAUGGAAACCAUAGUAGUUGCGUGUUAACAUAUCGCAAUUGGUUGAGGUGGCGACAGAACAGGUUCUGAUCACUUCAAACAUGCCUGCCCCAGGGACAGUAAACAUGUGGCAGAUGUACGAAGCGGACGCCUGGCAAGAAGAACCACUGCACCCAGCUCAACUAAGUCUGCCUUCAAACAAGAUGGAGCCUUCAGACUGACAACGUUAAAAAAGGAGAACAACCCACAGAGUGCAAUUACCACUUCCUUCAUGCUUGUAAAUCACUAGUCAUCUCUUUUUCAUCACAUGAAUGCCAUCACUGCCAGAAACGACUGCCUGAGGAUCUAGACUGAAACUGUUACAGCAAUCACAUUAAUGGGCCUCUGCAGAUGCAGGAGUAGAGUUUAUUUUACCAAAUAAGAAGUCAUAAUUAAGAAGUGAAAUACUUCCAAAAUAGCUGAUCAUUAACUAUUUAAAACAUAAAAGCAAUAGUUUUAUUCUAUAGGCUUGACAGUUUAGCACGGAAUAAGCCUUACAUGCAGCUUAACUGCAAAUGAAAUACUCUUGAAAACCAUUUGUGUACAAAAACACGUAUGCUUUAGGGCUUAACUGUAGGGUGUAUGAAUAAAUAAAGCGGAGUUGUACUUAUUUGGCUUUACAAAUUAGCUUCCAGGUCUUUUAUGUACAUUUCAAUAAUACUUCAUGCUAAGCAAGAUUAAACUUGAAUUUUAACUCCUGGCAUAUACAAGAGAAAAAUGUAGUUGGUGAAACUACUGCAUCUCCACGACAGACAACACUAUUUCAAACUUUCCCAAGAGUGAUACCCCCAAAACUAUUAAGAUUGCAGCUGUCGCUACGGUAUUAUGAAACCUUUUAGGCUCAGGGGAAGUAAUGAUUUCUAAGCCCAUGUGCAAGGGCAGUUAAGUUCUCCUUUUUAUCUCUACUAACCUCUACUCUUUAAUGUUCCAGUCUCUUUCUGAAGCCACAACUAUCCCUUAGAAGACAUCAUACACCACGGGAGCUGCUGACCACAAGGAGAGGGGAGCACAGCACAGCUCAUUUCCAGCCCACCCCCACUGCUAAGGCUGGCCGUAUGUGAAAGACAUCCCUCUUGCUGAGGCAAAAGGUGGAGGCAUGGCCAUGCUGAGAGGCCCAAAAUAGGCCAGAGUGACAUUACGCAAAUCAGGGUAGUAUAAAAACUAAUUAUUUUCUUACAGUACAGCAGCAUAGCGUAUAACGAUGUCCACCUCUCACUCACUGAUAUUGUGUAGUGAGACUGUAAUGAGGGAGCAGCUACCCCCAUCAUAAACUUACCUACUCUUUAACCAAAAGUUACAGGACUUAAGUAGUAUUUCUGGAUACCUUUGCCCCAGGGUUUUUAGGAGCUGUAAGCCACCCAAAGCACCAUUACGCACACAUAACAUCUCAGUGAUCAUUUCUCUGAUGAAAUCUUGUUGCAAGGAUCCAUACAUUUGUUACCUAACUGGAUUGCUAGGUAGCAUCUUACAAAAGGUUAGUUGCACAGGAACCCUAGCUAGCAGAGAAUUCAGCUACUCUCAUGACUCAGAAGAAAUACUUACUGAUACAGCAAAAUAACUUCUGCAUACAGUGAUGCAUAUACAAAAGCUUCAGGUUAGACAAGGAAAUUCUCACAAAAUACCCAUUCCAUGACAGUCACACAUCUUUGUAAUGCCAUGUAUUCAUAUUCCUCAAUUAAAUAGGUAUUUUCCAAAUUGAAAAAAAAAAAAAACAACACAGAAACAUCUCACAGUGAUGCCAGUUAAACUCCUACACUGCAAAAACUGUAGACACUUACACAGGUAAAACAUAUUUUAUCUGGAAUCUGUUUUUAGAACUUUGCUUUUAGAUUUGUUUUUAUCUGAAUCUCAACUAUAGUCCAUUGAUUUUAUAGUCUUCUCAGAAAACAGGU